AAUACUGGUUCCCGUACGAUCACCGAAGUUAAGCAAUGUCGUGUCUGGUCAGUACCUAGAUGGUUUACCGCUUAGGAAUACCAGGUGUUGUAAG